GUUGAGUCGCCGCCAUUUCUCCUAUCCGUCAAAACACACAAACUCUCAAUUAGUAUGAAACUGAGAGAGACAGAUAAACAAAUGGGCAAAAAUGAAGAUUUCUCCCAGAUUCACCAAAAUAAGAGUAAAACCCAACCACUAUUGAGCGAACUAGAUUACUUUAUCCGCCCAAAGUUCAAACCUUUGUAUUCAAUUCUCGUUGUAAAGGAUUUCUAUAAUACGAAUAGACAGUGAAGAGAGAGGGAGUGGGUAGCUAAAGAGAAGAGAGUGAGUGAUGAUACCUUGUUGAGGAUAAGAAAAAGGU